CUGCACCACUUACAGGCAGCAUCCGUAGCUGCUUCUGCUGAGUACUAUAAGGAGAGACGAGGUGACAGAUUAUGUAAUCUAAAUUUGAUCGCUCACUCAGCAGAAACGAUAACGAUUUAACGGCAGUUAUAAGACCUCGCAAACUAUUACUGUUCCUUGCCUCCUUGUAUCGACUGACACCUAAGGGUGCAAGGAAACUGGAAGAGUAGUUCGCCUUGUCACGGGAAGCCUGAAUGAGGCCUUUUUGAAGGCAUGUCCCGAAGGAGUACCGUAAAGCCAGCCAGUCAUGGUGGUCACUGAAACUGAAGGUACUCGGGGGGCAGAGCAGGAGGCUGUUUUAAUAAGGCCAAGAGAGAGAGAACAUGACAGAAGGCUGGGACGAAUAUCGUGAGGCCAAGUUCAAAAAAAAGAGAGACGAGGAAGGCGAGAAGGAGUUUCUGCGCGAAAUUCUGUGGAAAGUUGGAAAGCACUAGUGAAGCAUUUAAAUUGCGCAAAGUGUUCUCGGGAGUUUCUAGCACGCCUAGCACACUUAGGGAGGAUGAUGGGACAUCGAUAGUGGUCAGGAGACGGAGGAACUUCUGAUGGAGAUGCAUUUUCCGUGAGGCCAAGAAGAUAUCGCAAAUCCGACAUAUGCGGCAUACAUAGGAGACCAUCGUAGAGUAGAGGAUAGGAUGUCCGUAUAUGAUGCUGAAUGGCUGGAUUCGAAUCCUGGCGAGAACAUCUGAACAAAAUUUUUCCUGCUGGAUUUAGGUGGAGAUGGCAAGAAGAUAUUCGCUUAUGCGGGCGCCGACUUGUUGCAACCCCUUGCCAACCGGUUGUACGCAGAGGAUUGAACAGUGCAGCAAGGGCUGCCGCCUCAGUGUAUAACACAUGGCUACAACAACAGCGACGUCGUGCUGCUGGUUCGAGGCAGGUUUCUGUCGACGAUUAGCGAGAUUAUGGAAGGCUCAUUGAGGAGGGUCACUGGACUACCAGAAAUGGUUUGAGGACCGACCAAGGAAGACGGAGGAGCUGGUGCUCCUGCAAAAAUUAGAUACCGGAGAUCAGACUCCGUCCUUGAACGGGAUCACCCUACAGCUGUCAAAGGAAGCGAAGUACCUUAACAUAGUCCUCGAUUCGAAGCUGUCCAGGAAGAGUAAUACCGGGGAAAGGCGCCAUAGGGCACUGUGAGGAGUUCCUGCGCGAAAUUCUGUGGAAAGUUGGAAAGCACUACUGAAGAAUUUUAAUUGCGCAAAGUGCUCUCGAGCGAUUCUAGCACGCCUAGCACACUGAGCGGGGAGGAUGGGACAUCGAUAGUGGUCAGGAAACGGAGGAACUUCUGAUGGAGAUGCAUUUCCGUGAGGCAAUACCUACAUAUGCGGUCUACUUAGGAGACCACAGUAGAUUAAGGAUAGGAUGUCCGUAUAUGACCCUGAAUGCCUGGAUUCGAAUCCUGGCGAAAACAUCUGAACAAAACUUUUCCUGCUGGAUCAAGGUGGAGAUGGCAAGAAGAUAUUCGCUUAUGCGGGCGACGACUUGUUGCAACCCCAUGCCAGCCGGUUGUACGCACCGGAUUGACCUGUGCGGCAAGUGCUGCUUCCUCAGUGUUUAACACAUUGCUACAACAUCAACAACGUCGUAUUGCUGGUUCGAGGCAGGUUUCUGUCGACGAUUAGCGAGAUUAUGGAAAGCUCAUUGAGGAGGGUCACUGGACUACCAGAAAUGGUUUUAGGACCGACCAAGGAAGACGGAGGAGCUGGUGCUACCGCAGAUACUAGAUAUCGGAAACCAGACUCCCGUCCUUGAACGGGAUCACCCUACAGCAGUCGAAGGAAGCGAAGUGGCUUAGCAUAGUCCUCAACUCGAAGCUGUCCUGGAAGAGCAGUACUGAGGAAAGGCGCCGUAAGCACUGUGCGAUUUUUACUCUUGCAGGAGGACGUUCGAUAGGAAGAGGGGGGUUACCCCUAAGAUGAUUCAUUGGAUGUAUACAUAGAUAAGAUAACACAUACAAGGGAGUUCGAAAAGGUCCAGAACGCAAACGUUGGAGUCACAGGACUCUGAGAUCCGCAACGCUGGUAGGUCUGGAAGCGUUGCUGAAUUUAUAAUCUGUUGAGGUCUAUAUUUGGAACAGCACCGCCAAGGCCGCGUUUAGGCCGAGGAAGCUCGACAUGCUGAAGGAGUGCAUAUGUGGCCACAGUUCAACUCUGAAUGAUAUGGAUGUGAAAGAUCUCCGACUAUCUGGCACCGGUACCGUUUGGGACUAGGACAUUCAGGACUCGUUUCCCGGGUGGAAUAAAUGGAGGGCGGAUUUUGUGUUUGAAGAGGAUGAGACCUCGAGCUUUACUAAUGUCUUACUAAUCACUCCGACGCACUCAACAUGCGUAUGUCUCUGAGUCUACCGGACAUGUAUACGUUCAUUCAGGCGGAAGUCUGUGCCAUUAUAUCUGCCUUAGUAUACUCAAAUAACAUCCUCACAAGCAAUUGGUUUUAUAAUUGUCGUUAUACAAUUCCCAAUUUCAUUUUCAUUGUUGAACUCUUUCUAUUCGAAUAAAAUUUAAAAUUAGUUAAAUGUUGAAACUAUGAAUCGACACGUGAAUACAAAUCAAUGCACACAUAUUCUGGCUAAAAGAGCUCAUUAGUACAAAUAAUGCUUUUUGAUAUUUGACUGUCACAUCACAUUAAAAUUCUCAUUAUUGAUGAAUAUUUUGACAUGUUAGCCCAUUAUUGAUACGUAAAUGUCCUCAAUAUUUAUGAUAAUAUGUUGGUGAUGCAACUGAUAAUAAUGAUGUGGUUAAACAGAAAUGUAUUGCCAUUAGUUUCGUAAAAGUCAUUAUGCAAAUGUUAAAUUUAGAAAAGCACUGAGUAAAUACAAAUAUAAUAUGAUUUUAGAGAAAUUAAAACAAACUAA
rnacentral:sRNA from 1 species